UGUUGUCCUUUUUUUGGCGCACUCGGCACCUUACGAGAAAUCAAAGUUUUUGGGUUCUGGGGGGAGUAUGGUCGCAAGGCUGAAACUUAAAGGAAUUGACGGAAGGGCACCACCAGGAGUGGAGCCUGCGGCUUAAUUUGACUCAACACGGGGAAACUCACCAGGUCCAGACACAAUAAGGAUUGACAGAUUGAGAGCUCUUUCUUGAUUUUGUGGGUGGUGGUGCAUGGCCGUUCUUAGUUGGUGGAGUGAUUUGUCUGCUUAAUUGCGAUAACGAACGAGACCUUAACCUACUAAAUAGUGCUGCUAGCUUUUGCUGGUAUAGUCACUUCUUAGAGGGACUAUCGUAUUUCAAGUCGAUGGAAGUUUGAGGCAAUAACAGGUCUGUGGAUGCCCUUAGACGUUCUGGGGCCGCACGCGCGCUACACUGACGGAGCCAGCGAGUAUCUACCUUGGCCGAGAGGUCUGGGAAAUCUUGUGAAACUCCGUCGUGCUGGGGAUAGAGCAUUGUAAUUAUUGCUCUUCACGAGGAAUCCUAG
rnacentral:rRNA from 1 species